CCCAAGGCGCAAGCCGUGGGUAACCGGCGAACGGGUGCGUAACACGUGAGUGACCUGCCGAUUUGUGGCGGGAUAGCCGGGCCAACGCCCGGGUAAUACCGCAUACGCUCUUCUUGGGGCAUCUCUAGAAGAGGAAACCUCCGGGGCAAAUCGAGGGACUCGCGGCCUAUCAGCUAGUUGGCGAGGUAACGGCUCACCAAGGCUACGACGGGUAGCUGGUCUGAGAGGAUGGCCAGCCACAUUGGGACUGAGAUACGGCCCAGACUCCUACGGGAGGCAGCAGUGGGGAAUAUUGCGCAAUGGCCUACCGGCUGACGCAGCGACGCCGCGUGUGGGAUGACGCCCUUCGGGGUGUAAACCCACUGUUGCUCGAGACGAUUAGCGAGCUUUAGCUCGCCUGACGGUAUCGAGUGAGGAAGCAUCGGCUAACUCCGUGCCAGCAGCCGCGGUAAUACGGAGGGUGCGAGCGUCCGUUGGAAUCACUGGGCGUAAACCGCGCGUAGGUGGUCAGGUAAGGGUGUGGUGAAAGUCCCGGGCUCACCCCGGAUCUGCCCGUGCCGACUGCUGAC
rnacentral:rRNA from 1 species